UACGUAGGGUGCAAGCGUUGUCCGGAAUUAUUGGGCGUAAAGAGCUCGUAGGCGGUUUGUCGCGUCUGCUGUGAAAACUCGGGGCUUAACCCCGGGCCUGCAGUGGGUACGGGCAGACUAGAGUGCGGUAGGGGAGACUGGAAUUCCUGGUGUAGCGGUGAAAUGCGCAGAUAUCGAGAGGAACACCUGCGGCGAAGGCGGGUUGCUGGGCCGACACUGACGCUGAUGCGCGAAAGCCAGGGGAGCGAACGGG
rnacentral:rRNA from 1 species